AACUGACACAUAGACGGAAAAACGAAAUAAAGGAUUUGCUUUUCCCUUAAAAGAGUUUACAGCUGAUCGACCCAGAGCUAGCUACAGAACGCUCCUGUGUCCACUUCCGCUUCUGGGAUUACUGUUCCUAUAGCUGAAUGCUUACCCGGUCUUGUUAGAAUAUCCGUUGUUUGCCUUGGAGCUCUUCAAUCAGACGCAGUUGCUCUUGCUUAUUGGGAAUUAUCGCUGCACGUAACUGGUGUGGGAGUAUG
rnacentral:lncRNA from 1 species